CUACGGGCCGCUGCAGUGAGGAAUCUUGGACAAUGGGCGAAAGCCUGAUCCAGCAAUACCACGUGAGUGAUGAAGGCCUUCGGGUUGUAAAGCUCUUUUAGUAGGGAAGAUAAUGACGGUACCUACAGAAAAAGCACCGGCUAAUUCCGUGCCAGCAGCCGCGGUAAUACGGAAGGUGCUAGCGUUGUUCGGAUUUAUUGGGCGUAAAGCGUACGUAGGCGGUUUAGUGUGUUAGAUGUGAAAGCCCAGAGCUUAACUUUGGAAUUGCAUUUAAAACUGCUAGACUUGAACAUAACAUGGGAUGGUGGAAUUUCUAGUGUAGGGGUGAAAUCCGUAGAUAUUAGAAGGAACACCAGUAGUGCAGACGACCAUCUUGGUUAUUGUUGACGCUGAGGUACGAAAGCGUGGGUAGCAAACAGGAUUAGAUACCCUCGUAGUC
rnacentral:rRNA from 1 species